GACGAACCGUGCAAACGUUAUUCGGAAUCACUGGGCAUAAAGGGCGCGUAGGCGGCUUCAUAAGUCAGGGGUGAAAUCCGGCAGCUCAACUGUCGCAGUGCCUUUGAUACUGUGGAGCUAGAGGGAGGUAGGGGUCUGUGGAACUUCCGGUGGAGCGGUGAAAUGCGCAGAUAUCAGGAGGAACACCAGCGGCGAAGGCGGCGCUCUGGGCCGGUACUGACACUGAGGAGCGAAAGCGUGGGUAGCAAACAGG
rnacentral:rRNA from 1 species